GACGAACGCUGGUGGCGUGCUUAACACAUGCAAGUCGAACGGAAAGGCCCUGCUUUUGUGGGGUGCUCGAGUGGCGAACGGGUGAGUAACACGUGAGUAACCUGCCCUUGACUUUGGGAUAACUUCAGGAAACUGGGGCUAAUACCGGAUAGGAGCUCCUGCUGCAUGGUGGGGGUUGGAAAGUUUCGGCGGUUGGGGAUGGACUCGCGGCUUAUCAGCUUGUUGGUGGGGUAGUGGCUUACCAAGGCUUUGACGGGUAGCCGGCCUGAGAGGGUGACCGGCCACAUUGGGACUAAGAUACGGCCCAGACUCCUACGGGGGGCAGCAGUGGGGAAUAUUGCACAAUGGGCGGAAGCCUGAUGCAGCAACGCCGCGUGCGGGAUGACGGCCUUCGGGUUGUAAACCGCUGUCGCCUGUGACGAAGCGUGAGUGACGGUAAUGGGUAAAGAAGCACCGGCUAACUACGUG
rnacentral:rRNA from 1 species